GUAAAUAUAGUUUAUAAAAACACUAGACUGUUAAUCUAGAAAUAGGAAAUAAAACCCCUUAUUUACC
rnacentral:tRNA from 1 species